rnacentral:rRNA from 1 species
GGCGAACGCUGGCGGCGUGCUUAACACAUGCAAGUCGAACGGAAAGGCCCUGCUUUUGUGGGGUGCUCGAGUGGCGAACGGGUGAGUAACACGUGAGUAACAUGCCCUUGACUUUGGGAUAACUUCAGGAAACUGGGGCUAAUACCGGGUAGGAGCUCCUGCUGCAUGGGGGGGGUUGGAAAGUUUCGGCGGUUGGGGAUGGACUCGCGGGGUAUCAGCUUGUUGGUGGGGUAGUGGCUUACCAAGGCUUUGACGGGUAGCCGGCCUGAGAGGGUGACCGGCCACAUUGGGACUGAGAUACGGCCCAGACUCCUACGGGAGGCAGAAGUGGGGAAUAUUGCACAAUGGGCGGAAGCCUGAUGCAGCAACGCCGCGUGCGGGAUGACGGCCUUCGGGUUGUAAACCGCUUUCGCCUGUGACGAAGCGUGAGUGACGGUAAUGGGUAAAGAAGCACCGGCUAACUACGUG